GCAUCGGUGGUUUAGUGGUAAAAUUAGCCGUUGCCAAGACUUUGGCGUCAAGACUGUCGGCUAGCCCCGGGUUCGAUUCCCGGCCGAUGCA